GACGAACGCUGGCGGCGUGCUUAACACAUGCAAGUCGAACGAUGAAGCCAGCUUGCUGGUGGAUUAGUGGCGAACGGGUGAGUAACACGUGGGUGAUCUGCCCCAAACUUUGGGAUAAGCCUGGGAAACUGGGUCUAAUACCGAAUAUGACCGAUACUCGCAUGGGUGUUGGUGGAAAGCUCCGGCGGUUUGGGAUGGGCCCGCGGCCUAUCAGCUUGUUGGUGGGGUAAUGGCCUACCAAGGCGACGACGGGUAGCCGGCCUGAGAGGGCGACCGGCCACACUGGGACUGAGACACGGCCCAGACUCCUAUGGGAGGCAGCAGUGGGGAAUAUUGCACAAUGGGCGCAAGCCUGAUGCAGCGACGCCGCGUGAGGGAUGACGGCCUUCGGGUUGUAAACCGCUUUCACCAGGGACGAAGCGAAAGUGACGGUACCUGGAGAAGAAGCACCGGCCAACUACGUG
rnacentral:rRNA from 1 species